GUUCUGUUGGAGGACGGAGGCAUGGUAGGGCAUGGUGCAUUCGUGCAACAAAUGGAAAUCGUGAAAAUGGGCAAUGGAACGCGUCUUUCUCGCUUACAUGGGAAAGAACAGAGUUCAUGUCUUCAACGGACCUCCGCAGGUGCUAUGAUAACUAGGUGAAGACAGCAGUGGGCCUGGUGGAGCUGCCCACCACCACAGAGCCGUGGUCCCGUAGAAAGGUCUGGCGUUGGCCAGCUACCGACAGCUUCUCGUUUUGCGCCGCUAUAGGACCCCACAGGUGCCAUGAGAACCAGCUGAAGACUCCAGUGAGCCCGGUUGAGUUGCCCACCCCAACUGCCACAGUCUGGUGCCGGACUGCUGUCGUGUUUAAGCUCUGGCGUUGGCCGGCUGCCUCUGGGCGCCUCCGGUUUCUCGAUGUGACCGUGCCUGUCGGACCUCUGCAGGUGCUAUGAUAACUAGGUGAAGACAGCAGUGGGCCUGGUGGAGCUGCCCACCACCACAGAGCCGUGGUCCCGUAGAAAGGUCUGGCGUUGGCCAGCUACCGACAGCUUCUCGUUUUGCGCCGCUAUAGGACCCCACAGGUGCCAUGAGAACCAGCUGAAGACUCCAGUGAGCCCGGUUGAGUUGCCCACCCCAACUGCCACAGUCUGGUGCCGGACUGCUGUCGUGUUUAAGCUCUGGCGUUGGCCGGCUGCCUCUGGGCGCCUCCGGUUUCUCGAUGUGAGCGUGCCUGUUGGUACGUGGGCUCUGUGGUUCGGCUCUCUGUGACCCCCGCAGGCCGUUCAGCAAGGCUGGGCCUGCUCUCUGUGGUUCUGUCCUUUCCUGUAGAGUUUGCUAAAGAGGCUGGGCUGGUUUGAGGCCUCGCUGCGACUCCACGGCGAAGUUAUAGAAACCUUGGGCACUGGCUUAUGCCACCGCUUUCCCUGCGAUGUAGGUUAACCCUUUCUGUCUUAAACCCCAGGUAGGGUUUUAAUAAGGUUGUAAACAGUAGUUUAGUAGCCAUUUUGAUUGGUUGAAAAGGUAUAACACACUGGGGUGUUAUGGCUCUCUUGGGAUUUUACAGUAGUUAGGCUUGAGUGCCAUAUGGCACUCUUUGGACUGAAAGGGUUAACAUUUUUUAACUGAAUUGGAACUGAAGCGUGUAACUCCUACAACCAAUUUAUAAGCCGAUUUGUUUCUUAAUACUUAUUCAUGGGUCACCAGAACUAUUGGUUUUGUUUAGGGUUUUUUUCACCUGCAUUUGUGAAGGGGAAUGUUUGUAAGAUGCAGGUUUGCCCAGUGUGGAUUUCUCCCAGCAGUACCGUUUUUUUCCUCCAAGGGUGGCAGCACAUGCUGGGGGAGAGAUGUCCAGCACAUUGAUGUGAAAUGUGGAGCUGUUCCUGAGCUUUGUGUGAAUAAAAAAACAUUUUUACUACUUCACAA